UACGGGGGGGGCAAGCGUUGUUCGGAAUUACUGGGCGUAAAGGGCUCGUAGGCGGCCAACUAAGUCACACGUGAAAUCCCUCGGCUCAACCGGGGAACUGCGUGUGAGACUGGAUGGCUUGAGUUUGGGAGAGGAAUGCGGAAUUCCAGGUGUAGCGGUGAAAUGCGUAGAUAUCUGGAGGAACACCGGUGGCGAAGGCGGCAUCCUGGACCGAGAUUGACGCUGAGGCGCGAAAGCCAGGGGAGCAAACGGG
rnacentral:rRNA from 1 species